GGCCCAGAUCGUUUACCGUGAAAAAAUUAGAGUGUUCAAAGCAGGCAGAUCCAAUUUUCUGCCACCGAAUACAUUAGCAUGGGAUAAUGGAAUAGGACCCUGUCCUCCUAUUUUCAGUUGGUUUUGGCAGCGCGAGGACUAGGGUAAUGAUUAAUAGGGAUAGUUGGGGGCAUUAAUAUUUAAUUGUCAGAGGUGAAAUUCUUGGAUUUAUGAAAGAUUAACUUCUGCGAAAGCAUCUGCCAAGGAUGUUUUCAUUAAUCAAGAACGAAAGUUAGGGGAUCGAAGACGAUCAGAUACCGUCGUAGUCUUAACCAUAAACGAUGCCGACCAGCGAUUAGGAGACGUUGAAUACAAAACACCACCAUCGGCGCGGUCGUCCUUGGCGUCUGUCCCUUUCAACGGGGGCAGGCGCGAGGGCGGUUUAGCCCGGUGGCACCGGUGAAUGACUCCCCUAGCAGCUUGUGAGA
rnacentral:rRNA from 1 species